rnacentral:rRNA from 1 species
UUCACUUGAAGAUGGGCGUGCGUCUGAUUAGGUAGUUGGCGGGGUAACGGCCCACCAAGCCUACGAUCAGUAACUGGUGUGAGAGCACGACCAGUCACACGGGCACUGAGACACGGGCCCGACUCCUACGGGAGGCAGCAGUAAGGAAUAUUGGUCAAUGGACGCAAGUCUGAACCAGCCAUGCCGCGUGCAGGAUGACUGUCCUAUGGAUUGUAAACUGCUUUUUUACGGGAAGAAACCUCUGGAUGCGUCCGGAGCUGACGGUACCGUGAGAAUAAGGAUCGGCUAACUUCGUGCCAGCAGCCGCGGUAAGACGAAGGAUUCAAGCGUUGUCCGGAUUUACUGGGUUUAAAGGGUGCGUAGGCGGAAAUCUAAGUCAGUGGUGAAAUCCUGCAGCUUAACUGCAGAACUGCCAUUGAAACUGGUUUUCUUGAAUACAGUGGAGGUAGAUGGAAUAUAACAUGUAGCGGUGAAAUGCUUAGAUAUGUUAUAGAACACCGAUUGCGAAGGCAGUCUGCUACACUGUCAUUGACACUGAGGCACGAAAGCGUGGGGAGCGAACAGGAUUAGAU